CGUUGAGCAGGAUACUUGACACCACUUCUAAUCUUUGCCUGCUUGAAAUACCAAGCAGAAGUAGGUGAACAGAGGGUCCAGUCAGAGUCCAGGGUCUUCAGACGCCUGACUCACUGCUCAGGAAUUCAUCUGCCGGUACUACCGUGCUGUGUCCUGCAUUAUUUCUAUCCCUGGAUGUUAUGUAUCUUUGGUUUAGGGAAGAGAGAAGACAGAAAACCAUGAGCAGUCGACUCCUCCCCUCUGAAGAUCUAUACUAAUUGAUAACAUGUGUAUAAGGAGGUAACUUGAUACUAAGCUAGUGUACGACCCAAACACAGGCCACCUGCUGCGGUUUUGGAGAGAGCUGAGUCUAUCUCCCACCACAGCGGAGGCCUUUCUGAUUCAGACGGUUCAAAUGAGGACACACUGGCCAGAGUCCAUAAGUCAAUCAAUCAGCUUGCUCACUUCAAAGCUGAAAAGGUUUGGCCAGAGUGGGGAUGUUGCCUUUGCUGCAGCAGAAUGGAGAGUCCACUUCCAAGUGGCAAUACAUUAAUUUUAGAGGGGAAAAAGACUUUUGAC